UACGGGGGGGGCAAGCGUUGUUCGGAAUUACUGGGCGUAAAGGGCUCGUAGGUGGCCAACUAAGUCAGACGUGAAAUCCCUCGGCUUAACCGGGGAACUGCGUCUGAUACUGGAUGGCUUGAGUUCGGGAGAGGGAUGCGGAAUUCUAGGUGUAGCGGUGAAAUGCGUAGAUAUCGAGAGGAACACCUGAGGUGAAGACGGGUUGCUGGGCUGACACUGACGCUGAGGCGCGAAAGCCAGGGGAGCAAACGGG
rnacentral:rRNA from 1 species